ensembl:lncRNA
CUGGGAAGAAGGGCAGAAUCUCUGGAGUUGCCAGCUAGAUGAGGAAGAAACAACAUGCAUGGGAAGUUCAUAGAUGAGGUAAAUGAACCUCGGGACAGUGCAUAGAUGAAUAGAAAUGAGUUCAUUUAAGUUAUAAGUGCUAGCCGAAAACAAGCCUGGUGUAGGGGAUGCUGUAGCUACAUCUGCUUGGAGGCUGGCUACAGGGGUCCCUGACCAUGCCUGGGCGUGGUCAGGGGACUUAGAGUGAGGGAUGCUUACGUGGAGUUCUGCUUUCGGUUUCACUUUUGGUUUGCUGUACAGACUGCUGCCCUCCGGCUGGCUAGGUUGCUCUGUGCUCCCGGCUCACAGCAGACCCGCUACACCACACAGCGCAUUCCGGUUGCCAUUGAGCUGCUCAGAACCGACCACCCAGCUGGGAGACUUCCACAGACCUCCCCACGGUUACUGUCGCAGUUUCUAGCUGCAGGCACCAGACUGGCUCGGACUUCCACAUACCCGUGCCAGGAGGCCUCCUGCCCUAGAGCCGAGGAGGCCUCAGCUUUCAGCAGGGCCUGCAGCUUCCCCUAGCCACCACAGGUGUACAGCCGCAUCUUUUUCAAAAUAUUGGAAAACUCAUCUCCAGAAGUCCAAGAACACUGCCUGGGUAGAUACUUAAGAAGAGAAGGUAGCUAUAACCAUCAAACAAAAGGAAUGUGCCAUAUGGUAAACUUUACAGCUGUCUCUCAGAGAACCCUAUUUCUCUUUAUUUCCUAGUCCCUAUCCAAUUAAACCAAUGCUGGAUUUAGAGGUGGAUUUGGCUUUCCUCCUCUAAAAUCCAAGCACAUUGUUUAACUAAACUUUAGAGUUUCUGUAUUAUAUCAAGAAGCCAAUUGAUGUAAUAUAAAAUAAGAAAAGAAUUUGGGGCCUGUCUUUGUCUUUUCUUGGCUCUUUCUUUCAAGGUGUACACCCUCUCAUAAUUGUUAUUCCCCCAUGGUUGCCUUUCCAAGCAUGUUUACAUACACAGGCAAACAUUUCUCUGCUGUUUGAGUCCCACACAGCCAAUGAAGACCUGCCUGACAGCAAUCCCUGGACACCCCAGAAAGAAAAUGGGCCACACCUCCACACCUGCACUGGAUCCAACUUGCUCCAUUUCAGCUGACACUCUGGCCAGAGGUUCGGGUACUGACUUCAAUCAAGUUGAGGAUUUCAAGCAAGAUCUUCAAUCAAGCGAAUCCCAUCUAUCAUGGACUGGAUACAAUCCAUUCAAGACUUUCACUAUACUAACAUUUUCUUCCUACAGGACCCCACAUGACUAUCAUUGUCCCAUUUCAGCAGGAAAUAACUUGGAGAAUGCUACACCUCCUUUCCCCCAUUGUUGUCACGUAGGAUAGUGUAUAUACCUAGUUAGGGAUAGCUUUCUAUUGUUUAUGGUUGGGAUUGGAAGGAGGUGUUCAGGUUUGGACACCUCUUUCAGAUGACUUUAGGGUUUAGUUAAAAUAGAUAGUUAGGAUGUAACAUAAGCAGAUUGUUGUAUCUUCUUAUAUUUCACCUUUAUGAUCAUUAAUUUUGGAUACUUUACACUGUUAAGUUUUAAUCCUCUUUUAGACUAAAAGGGGAAUUGCAGGGGAUGCUGUAGCCACGCCUGCUUAGGGGCUGGCUACGGGUGUGCCUGACCAUGCCUGAGAGGGUGUGGUCAGGGGAUGUAGAGGGAGGGAUUUGUACGUGGCGCUGUGCUUUCAGUUUCACUUUCGGCCUGCUGUACAGACUGCUACCGGCAGGCUGGCUAGGUCGCUCUGUAAGUAAGGCUUUUCCCUAUUAAAAUCCCUUGUAUUUUUACAUGGCUCCGAAUUGGUAAUUUCCCGCAUUAGCCUGGGCUAUCGGCAGAGUGUUUAUAAUUAAUAUUAAGUCUCUGUGUGGU